AUGAUUCUUUCAUUUUUUCAUAUGUGGUUUUUUUGUUUAUUUUUUUUAAAUUUUUUUUCUCCAUAUGUGUACUGGCAUAAUCACUUAAAUGUGUUUUUUUUCUCUUCACUUAUGAUUUCUCCAUCUCUAGGGUUGGUUUCCUCUUUCUUUCUUCAUCUGCGUCGGUCAUCGUCCUUCUUCAAGUUUCAUCUGCGUUCGAGCAUCUUCGCCGGCCAUCGUCCGUCUUCAAGCAUGGGUGGUAGCAAGUCGUCAUUAUCAGCUGGUAAUUUUGGUAAGGAAUUGCCAAUAUGA